ACCUUCGGGUUAGUGGCGGACGGGUGAGUAACGCGUGAGAAUCUGCCCUCAGGAGGGGGAUAACGGCUGGAAACGGCCGCUAAUACCCCAUAUGCCGCGAGGUGAAAUGAAUUUCGCCUGAGGAUGAGCUCGCGUCUGAUUAGCUAGUUGGUGGGGUAAGAGCCUACCAAGGCAUCGAUCAGUAGCUGGUCUGAGAGGAUGAUCAGCCACACUGGGACUGAGACACGGCCCAGACUCC
rnacentral:rRNA from 1 species